CCCCCCCCAAACAAACAGAACUGUGCUCUGAGGCGCCACACUUGUGCUUGGUGCUGCUUCGAGUGGUCCUGCUUCUCAGUCCUCGUGAGGGUCUCAGUCUGGGCGGCAUGUGAGAAUCUCGUGCAGAGGUUAAACGAUCCUGAUGCUUAGCACCUUGGGUUUGUUAAGUCAGGAUCUGAGUGGAUGAGAAACCCCGCCUCAAUAGAUGGGCGACCUCCCCAGGUGAUUCCAGUGUGCGGUCCUGGCAGAGGUGGAGCCACAGCCUCCCCAGAGCCUCCCGGGGAGGCUGGACGGCGUGGGAGUUCACGGUUCUCCUCCAGGCUCAAAUGCAUCUGAUCUGCCCUCGAGCACCAGACAACGCCCCCAGUCCUGCUCAGGCAGCCCCGAGCAGCGUGGCAAGCCCCUGAGUGAGGGGGCAGAGGUGUGGCACUGUGUUCAUGUUAGAGACGCCUCUGUCGGCCAGCUGAUGAGGACGCCAACCUCAGGCAGCAUCUCCUGCGGGCCAGUCAAGGCAGACAUCACUCAAGAGCACCGAGAACAUGGUUCUUCUCAGCAGAGUGCUCUCGACAGCCAGCCAGUACUAAUCUAUCCAGGUUUGCCAUGCUGGCGAAGCUGUUGCGUGGAAAACAAAUCCUCGAGGUGCAUCUGAGAGAAUCAAGGCCCAAGAAGGUGAACUUGCCCAAGACGUGGCAGAGGCUCCAGGCUGUCGCACAGUCACAAGGGUUACUUUACAGCUUCGAUUCUGCAUGGACUCAGGACAAAAGCUCC